UACGUAGGGGGCUAGCGUUGUCCGGAAUCAUUGGGCGUAAAGCGCGCGUAGGCGGUCCGGUAAGUCCGUUGUGAAAGUCAAAGGCUCAACCUUUGAAUGCCGAUGGAUACUGCCGGGCUCGAGUCCGGAAGAGGCGAGUGGAAUUCCUGGUGUAGCGGUGGAAUGCGCAGAUAUCAGGAGGAACACCGAUGGCGAAGGCAGCUCGCUGGGACGGUACUGACGCUAAGGCGCGAAAGCGUGGGGAGCGAACAGG
rnacentral:rRNA from 1 species